UACGAAGGGUGCAAGCGUUACUCGGAAUUACUGGGCGUAAAGCGUGCGUAGGUGGUUUGUUAAGUCUGAUGUGAAAGCCCUGGGCUCAACCUGGGAAUUGCAUUGGAUACUGGCAGGCUAGAGUCCGGAAGAGGAGUGUGGAAUUCCUGGUGUAGCGGUGAAAUGCGCAGAUAUCAGGAGGAACACCAAUGGCGAAGGCAGCACUCUGGGACGUGACUGACGCUGAGACGCGAAAGCGUGGGGAGCAAACAGG
rnacentral:rRNA from 1 species